rnacentral:lncRNA from 1 species
UUCAUCUAAUCGUCCACCACGAUGGUUUUGAACCAUGUGUGAAUGCCACGACAUGGUCUUUUAACUAUAGCGACCAAAUUCUCCUCAUAGCUCCAUGUGCAAAAAUCUUAAAUGGCCACCCUUACUAACAAAUUAAUUUGCCACCACGGUUUUCAAAUACUUCAUUGCAGCCAACAUACCAGAGGACGAUGUGGUUGUUAGCAAGACCAUUACAAGAAGCAUCCGGAGAUAGACACAUAUAUAUUGCUGUUUGAGUUAUGGUAGUCUCAGUCCUAAACAAACAGCCAAUUCAAGAUGUUCAGAAAUGCAAGUGUACUCACAAGUCACAGCAACUCAACAAUCUGCAUGCAUCUCCUGCAAAUGUGGCAUAGAUAUAUUUCUCUCAAGCUAGUCAGGCAUGAGAGGCGUCGGGAGUUUGGGGGCCUCAUUUUCUCAUCAACUAGUCAGGAAAAUGUAGAUGUGCAGUGCCGUAUAACAUGCUGAGCAAGCAGCGUUCUCCCUGUACUCUACCUUUUGUUAACGUCAGUGCAGCGUCGCCGGUGGUGGACGAUGCACGCAGGUGCUUCGCUGUUCUAACUGAUCUCGAACAGCUGGAUGGGGGUUCGAUUUCAUCGGCGAAUCACGAUUGGGUGCCUGUUCGUCAGUUCUUGCAUGCUCUGUUAAUUAGUGAGAUCAGUAACGUUGACACAUAUAUACUGUAAAACAUGUGUAACA